GACGAACCGUGCGAACGUUGUUCGGAAUCACUGGGCUUAAAGGGCGCGUAGGCGGUGUGUUAAGUCGGCGGUGAAAUACUCCGGCUCAACCGGAGAAUUGCCGCUGAAACUGGCAUGCUGGAGGGAGGUAGAGGUGCAUGGAACUUCCGGUGGAGCGGUGAAAUGCGUUGAUAUCGGAAGGAACGCCUGUGGCGAAAGCGAUGCACUGGACCUCAUCUGACGCUGAGGCGCGAAAGCUAGGGUAGCGAACGGG
rnacentral:rRNA from 1 species